UACGAAGGGGGCUUGAGUUCGGGAGAGGAGCGUGGAAUUCCCAGUGUAGAGGUGAAAUUCGUAGAUAUUGGGAAGAACACCGGUGGCGAAGGCGGCGCUCUGGACCGAGACUGACGCUGAGGCGCGAAAGCGUGGGGAGCAAACAG
rnacentral:rRNA from 1 species